GGAGUGUAAACAGAACAUGAAAUUUGUUGUUCUGUAGUGUAUUAAUUAAAAAAGUGACCUUACCAAUUUUAAUUCAGAGCAUGGGGGGAUGUGUAAUUUGUGGAAAAUUGCAAAGGCACGAAAAUGUGACUUUACACAAAUUUCCACGAGAUAAGACACUGUGCCAAGAAUGGAGUGAGGAAACGUUGGAAACCAGGAGAAUUGCCUACGAUUUGUACAAGAAUUACCCUUGAACCGCAAAGGGACAUUUCGGAAAUAAAUAAUACGACAGUUACCUGAAGGCUUGUGUAAUUUGGAAGAGAUAGUUGGUGAAAAUCGUAAGGAGAUCUCGAGCAAUAAAUAAAAUAUACUUUUUACGAAUGAGGGUUCUGCAUUCCAAAAUUCUCAAAAAUGUGAAAGUGUUUCAUAACCAACAAUAAACAUUUCCAUAAGUAACAGUUCACCAAAUAAUAGAGAUGAUGUGCACGAUGUACUUCGACCUUUUUCUUUUUUGGAAAAUGUACCCAAACUGAGUGUUGUCCUGGAUAAUGGUGAAACUGCAGAUAAUGUGGAAGAGAUACCGAUCGGUGCGUGUAAUAAUUACACUACACCGAAGAAGGAAAUACCGAACAUUUCUAGAUCUGCGACACCACACUCUAAGGUUUCUGCACGAUCAUCGUUACGUCAACUGCGUUGUAAGUACAACGUACG